AACUGGCCCAGCAGAUCAAGCAGGAAGUGCGGCAGGAGGUGGAAGAGUGGGUGGCCUCAGGUAACAAAUGGCUAUACCUGAGCAUGAACCUGGUCAGCGAGAAUCCUGCAAGUAACUCAUGUCCUCAACAAAACCAGGGCAGCUGCAGAUGUGGUUAUCAAUGGUGAGACGAUUAUGAAACCAGCUUCAAUUUCAGAGGAAGAAUUGUUGAAUUUAAUCAAUAAACUGAAUAAUAAUGUAGAUGGCCUUAUUCAGCUGCCUCUUCCAGGCAUAUUGAUGACAGAAAGACCUGUAAUGCCUUUCUCCAGACAAGGAUGUCGAUGACUUUUAUGUAAUUAAUGUAGGGCAAAUGUGUUUGGACCAGUAUUCCACGUUACCAGCUGCCCCAUGGGGUGUGUGGGAAAUAAUUAAGCAAACUGGCAUUCCCACCCUAGGGAAGAGUGUGGUUGUGGCUGGAAGGUCAAAAAAUGUUGAAAUGCCAGUUGCAAUGUUACUGCACACAGAUGGGGCGCAUGAAGGUCCCAGAGGUGAUGCUACUGUUACAAUAUCUCAUGGAUACACUCCCAAAGAGCAGCUGAAGAAGCAUACCAUUCUUGCAGAUAUUGUAAUAUCUGCUGCAGACAUUCCAAAUCUCAUCACAGCACAUAUGAUCAAGGAAGGAGCAGCCAUCAUUAAUGUGGGAAUAAAUAGAGUUCAAGAUCCCGUAACUGCAAACCCAAGUUAGUUGGAGAUGUGGAUUUUGAAGGAGUCAGACAAAAAGCUGGUUAUAUCACUCCAGUUCCUGGAGGUGUUGGCCCCAAAACAGUGGUGAUGCUAAUGAAGAAUACCAUUAUUACUGCAAAAA
rnacentral:lncRNA from 1 species